rnacentral:rRNA from 1 species
CCUACGGGUGGCAGCAGUGAGGAAUAUUGGUCAAUGGGCGCGAGCCUGAACCAGCCAAGCAGCGUGAAGGAUGACUGCCCUACGGGUUGUAAACUUCUUUUAUAAAGGAAUAAAGUGAAGCACGUGUGCCUUUUUGUAUGUACUUUAUGAAUAAGGAUCGGCUAACUCCGUGCCAGCAGCCGCGGUAAUACGGAGGAUCCGAGCGUUAUCCGGAUUUAUUGGGUUUAAAGGGUGCGUAGAUGGGUUGUUAAGUCAGUUGUGAAAAUUUGCUGCUCAACCUUAAAAUUGCAAUUGAUACUGGCAGUCUAGAGUACAGUUGAGGUAGGCGGAAUGUGUGGUGUAGCGGUGAAAUGCUUAGAGAUCACGAAGAACUCCGAUUGCGAAGGCAGCUUACUAAUCUGCCACUGACAUUGAUGCACGAAAGUGUGGGUAGCAAACAGGAUUAGAUACCCCGGUAGUC